rnacentral:lncRNA from 1 species
CCACUCAAAGUGAACUUGUUCCUGAAGUUGAAGAAAAUGCUCGGAAUGAUAAAGCCAAGCUUAAGGGAGGAUGUUAGAGAUUAAUCUUGGCUUUCCUAGAAUUGCCUAGAAAAUCCUAGAAGUUCCUAGGUGGUAAAACUUAAUGGUUAAGGCUUUGAAUAUUCAAAGAUUAACCAUUAAGAUUUACAUGGUUGUUAAUUAGUUGUCAGGUAGUGGUUUUCAAUUUGUUCAAGUAACUUGAGUUGGUUUUCAAUUUGCUCAAGUAACUUGAGCCCUAGAACCUACUUGUAAGGCUUAUAAAUAGGGACCUUGUAUCAUGGUUUCAAAUACAUCAAUGAGUGAAAGUAAGUGAGUAGAAAAAACAGAGUUUGUGAGUGAAAAACAGAGAGAGAGGCUCCAACGAGUUUCUUGGCCUGAUAUAUGUCAGAAUCUCUUAAGCG